UCUCUGCUGAGUAGGUAGGUGGCUAUAUGGCUGAUGACUGGACAACAAUCACUAUCAAAAGGAAGUCUGCCCAUGGGCUACCGCAGGAAGAACAAGAGUCUGGGACAUUGUCUCCUGAGAAGAGGCAGGCUAAGGCAGUGUGAGGACUAGGAACCACUCUCAGGUUCCACUCUUGUAACCAACAUCCCCUCCAAACACCUGAGACAGUAGACUACUAUCACCAUUAAAUUAAAUUCGUACUACUUUGUA